rnacentral:piRNA from 1 species
CAUGGGCUUUCAGUGCUAUUUCAU